rnacentral:misc_RNA from 1 species
AGUAAGCAUGUGAAUGCUCCAGCUAAUUUCCCACAAGUGACCUGUAAAAUUGUAAUAGCCAUAGAGUCAAUCAUCGUAUAAGCAGUACCAUGAAUAAUUCAUCAAUAUCACAAACCCCAAAACUUAUCAGAACUAGAACAAGUGGCUAGCAGGAGCAAGAAAACACAUUCCCUAUGCAACCUGACUGUUUAUGAUAUAUAACUUGUUUUAAGGUGGUAGCAAAAGUUCCCACUUAAAAUAAGCAUUAGAAAAAUAAAUUUCAGGAAGAAAGAUCAUGCUUACAUCAUCUUUGAGGCUAUCACCAACCAUCAUGACCUCAUUAGGCUGAAAUUCCCAAGUU